UGGUCUCUUUAUGUAUGCCUGACUGUCCUGGAACUCACUACGUAAACCAGCCUGGCCUCAAACCCACUGUGAUCCUCCCAUCUCUGCCUAAUUUUAGGAUCCAAGGCAUGUGCCACCAUGUCAAGAACUCUUCUGUACUUUCAACCCUAGUAGAUUAAUUCUUAUAAGAAUAAAACUAUGCUUAGGGAGCAUUUAAAGGACCAGUGAGAUGGUUCAGCAUCAAAGAUGUUUGUCAGCAAGGCUGAUGAACUGAGCUAAAUCCCCAAGCCCACACUGUGGAAGUAGAGAAACAAUUCCUAUAAUCUAUCCUCUGACAUCCUCAAACAUGCCCUGGUUUGCCAGGAGGAGCGGGAGGAGGGGGAGGAGAAGGGUCAGGGGGCUGGGG
rnacentral:lncRNA from 1 species